UAAUUCUGCUCAAUAAGAAAUGACAGUCUUCCACUUAGUUGAAUACAAUAACCAACAACUACAAGAUCAGUAUCACUGAGAAAGAGAAGCACCAAGUGGGAGGAUUUUAUCUUGAAAGUCAUGACCACUAAGACAUUCAACUGUAGGCUGUCAUGCAACCCACUUAUGCUGUCAGCACCAUCCCCCCAGGAUGGGGCACACUGCCCCCAAGGCUCCCUCUAAACUGAAAGUAUCAAGAAAUACGACAGGAAGCUGCUCCUGGCCAAACACUGAGAGGAUCGUGUGUGUGUGUUUUUUUAAUAACAUCACAGCUCAGAGUCGCUUUUCUUUUUGACUGCGCACAUCUUCUAGAGGUGUUGAAUGCAACCCAUCAUUUUACAGCCCUCAAACUAUUUUUUAGAGAAGGGAAAUAUUUCUCUUGACAAUUACAACUAGCAGCUGCUUGUGCCCGACCAAUCACUGGGUCAUUAACAGGUCCAUCUGCCUACUCUCCUUUUGAACACAGAAGUUCCACCAGGUAAAUUCACCUGCCUGCCUAGUGAUUAUCUGCCACUGCCCAUGGGAACAGGCCAAAGGCUGCUUAUGGUGGUUCAAAAACAUCUGCAUCAUACAUACAGUUGCGCCUACUUGAAUGGCUUUGGAUUAACAAAAUCCAGGAUAUCGAGGAAUACACCUUUCAUUUAGCAGAUACAUCUACGUGGGAGAUGGACAGUGGUGGAGAGAACCACAGCAGAGCUGAGCCAAUCAAGGCAGUUAAUGGUCCGAGUCUGGCCACAUGUCAGAAGAGCAAGGAAGAGUGUGGGGUGCACACAUUCUCCCUGCAAACACAAUGGUCUGCCUAAGGUGUGCUGGCGACUGUGAGCUUAUUCCACUCCAUGACCAUCUCUCCCUGCCUUCCUAAUAGAUGACAGCGUCUUCUCCGGGCACUGCACUAAGUGAACUUCCAAUGCUUCUUCCAUGCAUCUAACAUUCUGAUUCAGACAGUCUUUCGGAUAAUAUUAUGCAGAGAUGCUUAGUCCACGAUUCUCAAUAUCCUAACACACCCUAACACUCUAAAGAAGAAAUAGUAAAAAUCAAACAAACAAAAAAACCUGUGGGUUUUCUUCUGUUGUCUGGUUUUAUUGUCAAGUGUUACUUGCUGUUCAAAAGCUAAAAAAGUUGUCCCUAUACUAGCUUUGACAACUGAUUUUAAAACUGGUUUUAUUUUUGUUUUGCCAAAUACCACUGGCAAAGAAGGGAAACUAUGCUUGUAAGUCGUUUUGGAGAAAGUUAUGUUUUGGAGAAACAAGUUUUCAGAAGUUAUGUUUUGGAGAAAAAAGUUUUCCAUAAUCUGAUCCUUGAAUCACAUUCUUCCUCUGCUGCACACCAACUGCAGAUCCCACAA